GACGAACGCUGGCGGCGUGCUUAACACAUGCAAGUCGAACGGAAAGGCCCUGCUUUUGUGGGGUGCUCGAGUGGCGAACGGGUGAGUAACACGUGAGUAACCUGCCCUUGACUUUGGGAUAACUUCAGGAAACUGGGGCUACUACCGGAUAGGAGCUCCUGCUGCAUGGUGGGGGUUGGAAAGUUUCGGCGGUUGGGGAUGGACUCGCGGCUUAUCAGCUUGUUGGUGGGGUAGUGGCUUACCAAGGCUUUGACGGGUAGCCGGCCUGAGAGGGUGACCGGCCACAUUGGGACUGAGAUACGGCCCAGACUCGUACGGGAGGCAGCAGUGGGGAAUAUUGCACAAUGGGCGGAAGCCUGAUGCAGCAACGCCGCGUGCGGGAUGACGGCCUUCGGGUUGUAAACCGCUUUCGCCUGUGACGAAGCGUGAGUGACGGUAAUGGGUAAAGAAGCACCGGCUAACUACGUG
rnacentral:rRNA from 1 species